UACGUAGGGGGCAAGCGUUGUCCGGAUUUAUUGGGCGUAAAGCGCGUGUAGGCGGCCCGGUAAGUCCGCUGUGAAAGUCGGGGGCUCAACCCUCGGAUGCCGGUGGAUACUGUCGGGCUAGAGUGCGGAAGAGGCGAGUGGAAUUCCUGGUGUAGCGGUGAAAUGCGCAGAUAUCAGGAGGAACACCAAUUGCGAAGGCAGCUCGCUGGGACGUGACUGACGCUGAGACGCGAAAGCGUGGGGAGCAAACAGG
rnacentral:rRNA from 1 species